GUGCUCACUUCUACAGCACAUAUACUAAAAUUUGAAUGAUACAGAGAUUUUCUUGGUCCCUACUCAAGGAGGACAUGCAAAUUUGUGGUUUGGUGACUGUUCUU
ensembl:snRNA U6 U6 spliceosomal RNA